UCUGGUGAUGAUGGCGAAGAGGUCACACCCGUUCCCAUGCCGAACACGGAAGUUAAGCUCUUCAGCGCCGAUGGUAGUCGAGGGGUUCCCCCUGUGAGAGUAGGACAUCGCCAGGC
rnacentral:rRNA from 2 species